rnacentral:rRNA from 1 species
GAGCAAGUACAGUGGCGGACGGGUGCGUAACGCGUAAACAACCUGCCUUCAAGCGGAGGAUAACCACGGGAAACUGUGGCUAAUACUGCAUAACGUCUAGAGGCCGCAUGGCCCCUAGAUCAAAGCCUUCGGGCGCUUGAAGAUGGGUUUGCGUCGGAUUAGCUCGUUGGUGAGGUAACGGCUCACCAAGGCAACGAUCCGUAGCUGGUCUGAGAGGAUGAUCAGUCACACUGGCACUGAGACACGGGCCAGACUCCUACGGGAGGCAGCAGUGGGGAAUCUUAGGCAAUGGGGGAAACCCUGACCUAGCCAUGCCGCGUGGAGGAAGACACCCCUAUGGGGCGUAAACUCCUUUUCUGCCGGAAGAAAACCCUGUUCUUCAGGGCGUGACGGUACGGCAGGAAUAAGCACCGGCUAACUCCGUGCCAGCAGCCGCGGUAAUACGGAGGGUGCAAGCGUUGUCCGGAAUCACUGGGCGUAAAGGGUGCGCAGGCGGGACAGCAAGUCGGAGGUGAAAGCCCACGGCUUAACCGUGGAAGUGCCUUCGAAACUGCUGUUCUUGAGUCCCAGAGAGGUCGCCGGAAUUCGUGGUGUAGCGGUGAAAUGCGUAGAUAUCACGAGGAACACCAGAGGCGUAAGCGGGCGACUGGAUGGGUACUGACGCUGAGGCACGAGAGCUGGACA